rnacentral:rRNA from 1 species
UGAGUAACACGUAUCCAACCUGCCGUCUACUCUUGGCCAGCCUUCUGAAGGAAGAUUAAUCCAGGAUGGCAUCAUGAGUUCACAUGUCCGCAUGAUUAAAGGUAUUUUCCGGUUGACGAUGGGGAUGCGUUCCAUUAGAUAGUAGGCGGGGUAACGGCCCACCUAGUCAACGAUGGAUAGGGGUUCUGAGAGGAAGGUCCCCCACAUUGGAACUGAGACACGGUCCAA